rnacentral:rRNA from 1 species
CACGAGUGGCGAAAGGGCGAGGAAUAGAUUCCUACGUACCCCGGAGUCAGGGAUAACCAUCGGAAACGGUGGCUAACACCUGAUAAUCUCGAAAGAGCAAAGUUUACGCUCUGGGAGCGGGGAAUCUCCUAUCAGCUAGUUGGUGAGGUAACGGCUCACCAAGGCUUAGACGGGUAGCGGGUGUGAGAGCACGACCCGCCGCAUCGGGACUGAGACACUGCCCGGACUCCUACGGGAGGCUGCAGUAACGAAUCUUCCGCAAUGCGCGAAAGCGUGACGGGGCAAUGCCGCGUGUGGGACGAAGCCCCUCGGGGUGUAAACCACUGUCAGGGUCUAGGAACACAAUGACCAUACCCAAAGGAAGCACCGGCUAACUCUGUGCCAGCAGCCGCGGUAAUACAGAGGGUGCGAGCGUUACUCGGAAUCACUGGGCUUAAAGGGUCCGUAGGCGGGACUGCAGGCGUCGAGUGAAAUCCCACGGCUCAACCGUGGAACUGCUCGGCGAACCGCAGUUCUUGAGGCGAGUAGAGGCGAUCAGAACGAUAGGUGGAGCGGUGAAAUGCGUAGAUAUCUAUCGGAAUGCCAAAGGUGAAGACAGGUCGCUGGGCUCGUCCUGACGCUGAGGGACGAAAGCGUGGGGAGCAAACGGGAUUAGAUACCCCGGUAGUCCGCGCCGUANACAAUGCGCACUGGGUCGGGGGGGUUUGACGCCCUCCUGGCCGAAGCAAAAGUGUUAAGUGCGCCGCCUGGGGAGUACGGUCGCAAGGCUAAAACUCAAAGGAAUUGACGGGGGCUCACACAAGCGGUGGAGC